rnacentral:rRNA from 1 species
AUGAACGCUAGCUACAGGCUUAACACAUGCAAGUCGAGGGGCAGCAUGAACUUAGCUUGCUAAGUUUGAUGGCGACCGGCGCACGGGUGAGUAACACGUAUCCAACCUGCCGAUGACUCGGGGAUAGCCUUUCGAAAGAAAGAUUAAUACCCGAUGGCAUAGUUCUUCCGCAUGGUAGAACUAUUAAAGAAUUUCGGUCAUCGAUGGGGAUGCGUUCCAUUAGGUUGUUGGCGGGGUAACGGCCCACCAAGCCUUCGAUGGAUAGGGGUUCUGAGAGGAAGGUCCCCCACAUUGGAACUGAGACACGGUCCAAACUCCUACGGGAGGCAGCAGUGAGGAAUAUUGGUCAAUGGACGAGAGUCUGAACCAGCCAAGUAGCGUGAAGGAUGACUGCCCUAUGGGUUGUAAACUUCUUUUAUACGGGAAUAAAGUGAGGCACGUGUGCCUUUUUGUAUGUACCGUAUGAAUAAGGAUCGGCUAACUCCGUGCCAGCAGCCGCGGUAAUACGGAGGAUCCGAGCGUUAUCCGGAUUUAUUGGGUUUAAAGGGAGCGUAGGCGGACGCUUAAGUCAGUUGUGAAAGUUUGCGGCUCAACCGUAAAAUUGCAGUUGAUACUGGGUGUCUUGAGUACAGUAGAGGCAGGCGGAAUUCGUGGUGUAGCGGUGAAAUGCUUAGAUAUCACGAAGAACUCCGAUUGCGAAGGCAGCUUGCUGGACUGUAACUGACGCUGAUGCUCGAAAGUGUGGGUAUCAAACAGGAUUAGAUACCCUGGUAGUCCACACAGUAAACGAUGAAUACUCGCUGUUUGCGAUAUACAGUAAGCGGCCAAGCGAAAGCGUUAAGUAUUCCACCUGGGGAGUACGCCGGCAACGGUGAAACUCAAAGGAAUUGACGGGGGCCCGCACAAGCAGUGGAGUAUGUGGUUUAAUUCGAAGCAACGCGAAGAACCUUACCAAGCCUUGACAUCCCAUUGACAGAGCAUGUAAUGUGCUUUCCCUUCGGGGCAGUGGUGACAGGUGGUGCAUGGUUGUCGUCAGCUCGUGCCGUGAGGUGUCGGCUUAAGUGCCAUAACGAGCGCAACCCUUAUCGAUAGUUACCAUCAGGUUAUGCUGGGGACUCUGUCGAGACUGCCGUCGUAAGAUGUGAGGAAGGUGGGGAUGACGUCAAAUCAGCACGGCCCUUACGUCCGGGGCUACACACGUGUUACAAUGGGGGGUACAGAAGGCAGCUACACGGCGACGUGAUGCUAAUCCCGAAAGCCUCUCUCAGUUCGGAUUGGAGUCUGCAACCCGACUCCAUGAAGCUGGAUUCGCUAGUAAUCGCGCAUCAGCCACGGCGCGGUGAAUACGUUCCCGGGCCUUGUACACACCGCCCGUCAAGCCAUGAAAGCCGGGGGUACCUGAAGUGCGUAACCGCAAGGAGCGCCCUAGGGUAAAACUGGUGAUUGGGGCU